AAGGGUUUCUAGAAAGGGGAAAGGUGCGGCCCAAGUCUAAGAGGAUGAGGAUAGGUCAUCUAAAAGCCCAAAGCCAAGAAUAGAAACUCUCAAAAAUGGAAACCUCCAAGAAUAGAAACUUCCAACUUUAGAAACUUUGGUUUCCACUUCUGCAUUCUUUGUUCUUCACUUUCAUUUCUUCAUCUCUUAGGCUUCUUUGACCUUCAAACUUGUCCAUUCCUUGUGCUCCAUAUGCAUACACUCCAUUCCAGCUCAAUUUUGCUCUAAAAUGCUCCAAUUUGCAUCAUUUUAUGUAAUAUGCCCUUAAAACCUGAAAACACAUGAAACUAACUUAAAAGACUACUUUAAACUC
rnacentral:lncRNA from 1 species